CCCUUAGAUGUUCUGGGCCGCACGCGCGCUACACUGAUGCAUUCAACGAGUCUAAAACCUGCUCUGAUAGGGGUGGGUAAUCUUUUGAAUGUGCAUCGUGAUUGGGAUAGAUGAUUGCAAUUUUUCAUCUUCAACGAGGAAUGCCUAGUAAACGCAAGUCAUCAGCUUGCAUUGAUUACGUCCCUGCCCUUUGUACACACCGCCCGUCGCUCCUACCGAUUGAAUGAUCCGAUGAAUAUCAUGGAUUGAGGAUUAUAGCAGGUUCGCCUGUCUUGAUCUUCGAGAAGUGAAGUAAAGCUUAUCAUUUAGAGGAAGGAGAAGUCGUAACA
rnacentral:rRNA from 1 species